rnacentral:rRNA from 1 species
CUCCUACGGGACGCAGCAGUGAGGAAUAUUGGUCAAUGGGCGCGAGCCUGAACCAGCCAAGUCGCGUGAGGGAUGACGGCCCUACGGGUUGUAAACCUCUUUUGUCGGGGAGCAAAUUCCGCCACGUGUGGCGGAGUCGAGAGUACCCGAAGAAAAAGCAUCGGCUAACUCCGUGCCAGCAGCCGCGGUAAUACGGAGGAUCCGAGCGUUAUCCGGAUUUAUUGGGUUUAAAGGGAGCGUAGGUGGAUUGUUAAGUCAGUUGUGAAAGUUUGCGGCUCAACCGUAAAAUUGCAGUUGAAACUGGC